AUCAACUUUCGAUGGUAGGAUAGAGGCCUACCAUGGUGGUAACGGGUAACGGGGUGUUAGGGCACGACACCGGAGAGGGAGCCUGAGAAACGGCUACCACAUCCAAGGAUGGCAGCAGGCGCGCAAAUUACCCAAUCCCGACACGGGGAGGUAGUGACAAUAAAUAACAAUACGGGGUCCUUUAGGAUCUCGUAAUUGGAAUGAGUACAAUUUAAAUCUCUUAACGAGGAACAAUUGGAGGGCAAGUCUGGUGCCAGCAGCCGCGGUAAUUCCAGCUCCAAUAGCGUAUAUUAAAGUUGUUGCAGUUAAAAAGCUCGUAGUUGAAUUUCGGGGUUAGUAGGUUGGUCAUGCCUCUGGUAUGUACUGAUCUUACUGAUUCCUCCCUCUUGACGAACUGUAAUGUCAUUAAUUUGGUGUUGCAGGAAAUCAGGACUGUUACUUUGAAAAAAUUAGAGUGUUUAAAGCAGGCUUAGGCUUGAAUACAUUAGCAUGGAAUAAUGAAAUAGGACGUUUGAACCUAUUUUGUUGGUUUCUAGGAUCGACGUAAUGAUUAAUAGGGAUAGUUGGGGGCAUUAGUAUUCAAUUGUCAGAGGUGAAAUUCUUGGAUUUAUUGAAGACUAACUACUGCGAAAGCAUUUGCCAAGGAUGUUUUCAUUAAUCAAGAACGAAAGUUAGGGGAUCGAAGACGAUCAGAUACCGUCGUAGUCUUAACCAUAAACUAUGCCGACUAGGGAUCGGAUGAUGUUAAUUUUUUAAUGACUCAUUCGGCGCCUUACGGGAAACCAAAGUGUUUGGGUUC
rnacentral:rRNA from 1 species